rnacentral:rRNA from 1 species
UGGGGAAUAUUGGACAAUGGGCGAAAGCCUGAUCCAGCCAUGCCGCGUGUGUGAAGAAGGUCUUCGGAUUGUAAAGCACUUUAAGUUGGGAGGAAGGGCAUUAACCUAAUACGUUAGUGUUUUGACGUUACCGACAGAAUAAGCACCGGCUAACUCUGUGCCAGCAGCCGCGGUAAUACAGAGGGUGCAAGCGUUAAUCGGAAUUACUGGGCGUAAAGCGCGCGUAGGUGGUUUGUUAAGUUGGAUGUGAAAUCCCCGGGCUCAACCUGGGAACUGCAUUUAAAACUGACUGACUAGAGUAUGGUAGAGGGUGGUGGAAUUUCCUGUGUAACGGUGAAAUGCGUAGAUAUAGGAAGGAACACCAGUGGCGAAGGCGACCACCUGGGCUAAUACUGACA